GACGAACGCUGGCGGCGUGCUUAACACAUGCAAGUCGAGCGAGUGGAUUCCCUUCGGGGAUGAAGCUAGCGGCGGACGGGUGAGUAACACGUGGGCAACCUGCCUUAUAGAGGGGGAUAGCCUUCCGAAAGGAAGAUUAAUACCGCAUAAUAUCAGAUUAUCGCAUGGUAGACUGAUCAAAGGAGCAAUCCGCUAUAAGAUGGGCCCGCGUCGCAUUAGCUAGUUGGUGAGGUAACGGCUCACCAAGGCGACGAUGCGUAGCCGACCUGAGAGGGUGAUCGGCCACAUUGGGACUGAGACACGGCCCAGACUCCUACGGGAGGCAGCAGUGGGGAAUAUUGCACAAUGAGGGAAACCCUGAUGCAGCAACGCCGCGUGAGUGAUGAAGGCCUUCGGGUUGUAAAGCUCUUUGAUCAGGGACGAUAAUGACGGUACCUGAAGAACAAGCCACGGCUAACUACGUGCCAGCAGCCGCCGUAAGAC
rnacentral:rRNA from 1 species